CCCGUUAAUGACGCUCAUGCUCGAAGGCGCGGGUAUCAAACAGGAUUAGAUACCCUGGUAGUCCGCGCAGUAAACGAUGGACACUCGCGGUUUGGGCGUUAUAGCCUGAGCCGCCCAGCGAAAGCGUUAAGUGUCCCACCUGGGGAGUACGCCGGCAACGGUGAAACUCAAAGGAAUUGACGGGGGCCCGCACAAGCGGAGGAACAUGUGGUUUAAUUCGAUGAUACGCGAGGAACCUUACCCGGGCUUGAAAUGAGACCGACGGCUCAGAGAGACCUGAGCCUCCUUCGGGCGGUCUUGUAGGUGCUGCAUGGUUGUCGUCAGCUCGUGCUGUGAGGUGUCGGCUUAAGUGCCAUAACGAGCGCAACCCCUUCCGCCGGUUACCAUCGGGUCAUGCCGGGGACUCCGGCGGCACUGCCGCCGCAAGGCGCGAGGAAGGCGGGGAUGACGUCAAAUCAGCACGGCCCUUACGUCCGGGGCCACACACGUGUUACAAUGGGGGGCACAGCGAGCUGGGUCAUGGCGACAUGCCCCGAAUCACGAAAUCCCCUCCCAGUUCGGACUGGAGUCUGCAACCCGACUCCACGAAGCCGGAUCGCU
rnacentral:rRNA from 1 species